GGAUUGGAUCGUCUGAGCGCGUGCCUCCCUCGUGUGUUCGAAUCCCGUAACUGCAACUUCGGAGUCGUUUACCGUUGCUAGGCAACACCCAGGUAAAUCUGACUCAAACGGAUUUUACAACAGUCACACAUCCGCUGCAUUCCCGCUUAGCAGACAUGUCGGGAGUGGAGGACUACGAUCGUCAAAACGCUGUAAUGAUGGAGAGAAUCACAGUAGAAAUCUGAAGAUCUCCGAGGAGAUCGUCAUGAACCCACACCGGCCCGGUCCGCUCAGUUCAUGUCCUCGCUGACAACCUCACGUCCAGGAAACCCCCGGAGGCAACGGCAGUCGACCCUCCGGUCAUUGAAGUUCAAAAAAAGGGAAAGGAUUUCCGCAGACGUCGCACGGAUGUCACAGCAACACAUAUCUUUCCCAUUUGUGGAAAAAAUACAAAAGAAAAGUGAUUGAAAUUAUGUUGGGUUUUUUACAAACAUACAACAGUAACACAAAGUGGACCUGUUCUUUGCAAACUAAGCCAUGACUUUCCACAGGCCACACUCACCAAUG